GCGUGACCGACCGUGUCAUUUUAUUUUGAUUGUGUCCUUAAUAAUAAUUACAUUUCGCUGAUCUUCUCGAGCAACUCGCUCAAUACGCGAUAUCCCAUUCGCUGUCUGCGUGUUCUUCGUGUUUUGUUCACAACAUGGACCCUUGCAACUGCGCAGUAACAGGUAAAUGUACCUGUGACCCGAGCUCCUGUGAUUGUAGUAAGUGUAACUGUAAUCCCGAAACUUGCAAAUGUACCAAAGCAGGAAAGUCGUGCUGUGAUAAAACAAAAUGACGUCGAAUACUAUUUCUGUAAUCCUCUUGAAUUUCUCAAGAACAAAAAUAUCGAGUAUGUUUGAUAAUGCUACGUAAAUGAUAUUUCAGUUUUUCAAUAAAUUUGAACAGAAUACCGUA